GCAAGUCGAGGGGUAUAAUUUAGCUUGCUAACUUAGGGACCGGCGCAGGGGUGUGUAACGCGUAUGCAAUCUACCUUGUACAGGGGGAUAGCCCAGAGAAGUUUGGAUUAAUACCCCAUAGUAUAGAGCAGUGGCAUCACUAUUAUAUUAAAGAUUCAUCGGUACAAGAUGAGCAUGCGUCCCAUUAGCUAGUUGGUAUGGUAACGGCAUACCAAGGCAAUGAUGGGUAGGGGUCCUGAGAGGGAGAUC
rnacentral:rRNA from 1 species